rnacentral:rRNA from 1 species
GGUAAGGGUUCGACUCCGGAGAGGGAGCCUGAGAAACGGCUACCACAUCCAAGGAAGGCAGCAGGCGCGCAAAUUACCCACUCUCGGCACGAGGAGGUAGUGACGAAAAAUAACGAGACGGAUCUCUUUGAGGCCCGUUAUCGGAAUGAGAACAAUUCAAAUCCUUUCACGAGGUUCUAGCGGAGGGCAAGUCUGGUGCCAGCAGCCGCGGUAAUUCCAGCUCCGCAGGUGUAUAUCUAUGCUGCUGCGGUUAAAAAGCUCGUAGUUGGAUCUGCGUGCUCGGAACUGGUUGGCUCACUGAGUUCAAACUGGUCUCCGGCGCUUUAUUGGCCGGUUUUCCCUUGAUGCUCUUAACCGGGUGUCUUGGGUGGCUAGCACGUUUACUUUGAAAAAAUUAGAGUGCUCAAUACAGGCGUAAAGCCUUGAAUAGUGGUGCAUGGAAUAAUAGAAUAGGACCUCGGCUCUAUUUUGUUGGUUUUCGGAACGCGAGGUAAUGAUUAAGAGGGACAGACGGGGGCAUUCGUAUUGCGACGUUAGAGGUGAAAUUCUUGGAUCGUCGCAAGACGGACGACUGCGAAAGCAUUUGCCAAGAAUGUUUUCAUUAAUCAAGAACGAAAGUUAGAGGUUCGAAGGCGAUCAGAUACCGCCCUAGUUCUAACCGUAAACGAUGCCAACUAGCGAUUCGCAGGCGUUAAACAACGACCUUGCGGGCAGCUUCCCGGAAACGAAAGUGUUCGGGUUCCGGGGGAAGUAUGGUUGCAAAGCUGAAACUUAAAGGAAUUGACGGAAGGGCACCACCAGGAGUGGAGCCUGCGGCUUAAUUUGACCCAACACGGGAAAACUCACCCGGCCCGGACACCGUAAGGAUUGACAGAUUGAGAGCUCUUUCUUGAUUCGGUGGGUGGUGGUGCAUGGCCGUUCUUAGUUGGUGGAGCGAUUUGUCUGGUUUAUUCCGAUAACGAACGAGACUCUGGCCUACUAAAUAGUGGGCGGAUUCUUUCUGUCCGCAACACUUCUUAGAGGGACAAGCGGUGUUCAGCCGCACGAGAUUGAGCAAUAACAGGUCUGUGAUGCCCUUAGAUGUCCGGGGCUGCACGCGCGCUACACUGAAGGAAUCAGCGUGCUUUCUGACCUUGCCCGAAAGGGCUGGGUAACCCGAUGAAAAUCCUUCGUGAUUGGGAUAGGGACUUGCAAUUAUUUCCCUUGAACGAGGAAUUCCCAGUAAGUGUGGGUCAUAAGCUCGCGUUGAUUACGUCCCUGCCCUUUGUACACACCGCCCGUCGCUGCCCGGAACUGAGCCGUUUCGAGAAGAACAGGGACCGUCGUUGAAGGGCCUUAACGGGCUUUUCUCUGAUAGAAACUGUUUUAAUCGCAGUGGCUUGAACCGGGCAAAAGUCGUAACAAGGUU